rnacentral:rRNA from 1 species
UACACGACCGUACCGCAAACCGACACUGGUGCGCGAGAUGAGUAUUCUAAGGCGCUUGAGAGAACUCAGGAGAAGGAACUCGGCAAAUUGACACCGUAACUUCGGAAGAAGGUGUGCCUUUAGUAGGUGAACCAUUUACUUGGGGAGCCCAAUGAGGCUGCAAAAAAUCGGUGGCUGCAACUGUUUAUUAAAAACACAGCACUCUGCUAAGACGAAAGUCGACGUAUAGGGUGUGACGCCUGCCCGGUGCUGGAAGAUUAAAUGAUGGGGUGCAAGCUCUUGAUUGAAGUCCCAGUAAACGGCGGCCGUAACUAUAACGGUCCUAAGGUAGCGAAAUUCCUUGUCGGGUAAGUUCCGACCUGCACGAAUGGCGUAAUGAUGGCCACACUGUCUCCUCCUGAGACUCAGCGAAGUUGAAAUGUUUGUGAUGAUGCAAUCUCCCCGCGGAAAGACGGAAAGACCCCAUGAACCUUUACUGUAGCUUUGUAUUGGACUUUGAACAGAUCUGUGUAGGAUAGGUGGGAGGCUUUGAAGUGUGGUCGCUAGAUCGCAUGGAGCCAACGUUGAAAUACCACCCUGGUGUGUUUGAGGUUCUAACCUAGGUCCAUUAUCUGGAUCGGGGACAGUGCAUGGUAGGCAGUUUGACUGGGGCGGUCUCCUCCCAAAGUGUAACGGAGGAGUUCGAAGGUACGCUAGGUACGGUCGGACAUCGUGCUAAUAGUGCAAUGGCAUAAGCGUGCUUAACUGCGAGACUGACAAGUCGAGCAGAUGCGAAAGCAGGACAUAGUGAUCCGGUGGUUCUGUAUGGAAGGGCCAUCGCUCAACGGAUAAAAGGUACUCUGGGGAUAACAGGCUGAUACCGCCCAAGAGUUCAUAUCGACGGCGGUGUUUGGCACCUCGAUGUCGGCUCAUCUCAUCCUGGGGCUGUAGCCGGUCCCAAGGGUAUGGCUGUUCGCCAUUUAAAGAGGUACGUGAGCUGGGUUUAAAACGUCGUGAGACAGUUUGGUCCCUAUCUUCCGUGGGCGCUGCAGAUUUGAGGAAGCCUGCUCCUAGUACGAGAGGACCGGAGUGGACGAACCUCUGGUGUAUCGGUUGUCACGCCAGUGGCAUUGCCGAGUAGCUAAGUUCGGAAGAGAUAACCGCUGAAAGCAUCUAAGCGGGAAACUCGUUUCAAGAUUAGAUCUGCCGGGGCCUUGAGCCCCCUAAAGAGUCGUUCAAGACCAGGACGUUGAUAGGUCAGGUGUGGAAGCUAA